rnacentral:rRNA from 1 species
CUUGAUUCAAUUAUGGUAAUUAGGGCUGGCAAAGUUAGUGCCAGCCGCCGCGGUCACACUACAUCAGCUCAAAUUAAUAUCUAUCGGCGUAAAGCGUGAUUAAAGCACUAAAUAAAACUAGAGUCAAACAUAAAUUAUCCUGUUCUAACCUCAUUUAUAAGAAGCUCAACAACGAAAGUCACUCUAAACAACCAACUUGAACUCACGACAGCAGAAAAACAAACUGGGAUUAGAUACCCCACUAUGCCUGCCACAAACUUUAACUUACACCCCAAUCGCC